rnacentral:rRNA from 1 species
GACCAUAAGAGCCUCAAAUAUAUUUUCACACAGCCAGAGCUAAAUUUACGCCAACGACGCUGGUUGGAACUGGUCAAGGACUAUGAUGUCGGUAUUCACUACCAUCCAGGGAAGGCAAAUGUAGUGGCAAAUGCCCUUAGUCGAAACCCCAGCCCGGACAAUGAAGGUCCGCAAAACUUGAGGCCUGAGUUUCAGCAAGAGUUCGCUAGGCUCAACAUGAUGUUAGUCUCGGAGGGCACCGUAUCAAACCUGGAGAUACAACCCACCCUGGUGGAACAAAUUAAGAAGGCUCAACAGGGACAUCCCAGCAUCGAAGGUAUAAAGAAGAAAAUGAACCUUGGCAAGGCUUCAGAGUUCGUCACAGACAGUGAAGGAACAUUAUGGUACGGAGACAGACUUUGCGUACCUAACAUUGAGGAACUCAAGCAACAAAUCUUAACCGAAAGCCACACCGCUCCAUACUCGAUCCAUCCUGAAGGAACCAAAAUGUACAAGGACAUUCAGGAAAGAUUUUGGUGGCACGGUAUGAAAAGAGAUAUAGCCACAUUCAUUGCUUGUUGCGAUUCAUGUCAGCGCAUCAAGGCC